CCGGAGGGCAGGCGAACGAAAUUUCCUGCACACGCGCGUUGAUGCCAUCCACACAAUUUACCUGUUCUGGCCCAAUAAGUGUCUGUUUGUAAACACUGACCAGCAGUCGUCCGCUCAUAGCAGUGGGACCGGUCGCCGUUUUGUUGGGGAAAGCCCUCUAGAGAUGUCGGUCAUUUUUGAUUAAUACUUCUACUCUGGUUACACAUCCAGAUGUUGAGUACUUAUCCGCAGACAAGAAGGCGUAUUCCAGUGUAUAGGAGCAGUGACAACAAUAUUUAAGGUGUAGGCAAGGACAAAUCUCAUAGUCAUGCAGGAAGUCGGCGGCCGCCUGUGGAGCGAAAGUCCGCGGGGAACAAAAACUCACCGCAAAACACAUUUGGACCAGCCAGCUGGUACCUGUGUAGAGCAAAGUGCACAUCAUAAAAGUAUGGAGACUAUCGGCGACUAUCAGAUGAAUGACAACCCAUGGGGAUCCCACGGGAAACCUCCUCUGGAAAAGCCAGAUGUUACCUGU